UUAAUUAAACUGUUUAUCCAAACAGGGCCUAAAAUACUAGAGAAUAAUAGGGAGCAUAUUGCUAACAUUUUCUCAUUCAGAAAUAAAGGAAUAACAGAAAAUGAAUUAUACAGGAUUAAGCAGAAUAAUCAAACCUGGUUGAUGAACUAUAGUAGACAAAAUGAGUACCCGGAGGAAUCAUCUUAAUACCCUUAAAAGCAGGUCCAACAGAGAACAUCUAUAAAGGUUGACAAUUUUGUUCAACAUCAACAAGUUGGUUCACAAUUUUGGAGAGCGCGGUAGACUGAUGGAUACCCCCAUUUGAAAUUACCUCAUAUGCUGAUUUCACUGAAUAAGCGCCUCCCAGAUCAGCUAACCAUUGCAAUCUGUCAAUAUCCCCAACCUCCAAAAGUACAUUAGCCAGCAACACAUUGAUUACGUCAUACAUGGUCAAUUCAGUAACAAAAAAAAAAUUAUUUAUAACUGUGCAUACCAUGUGAAUAAAAAAGACAUACACCUACUGAAUUAAUUCGCUCGGCCACUUCUGCAUGAAAAGCCAUUGCCCCUCCUUCCAUUCACCAAAAUCUUCCACCAUUGCAUUUGAAACAGCAAUAAUUCCAUAUUGAACCUUUUGCAAUAAAUUAGUCAUUUGUUGAAUUGUAGUUAAACAAAAAAAAAAGCCUCAAACAAAUUAGGCGUGAAUUUAGGUUUUUUCUUAAAAUAUACGGCUAACAUUAGGAUAAUGCAUUAGCCUAUUUUCCAUCACACUCAUCAACAUAAACGGUGUAUUGUUGAUAUUUAGCCUCUAUUUACUAUCUCAAGUCUCUCUCAAUUUCUAUCCUUCUGCAAGCUAAGAGUCUUCUCUUGCUAAGUCAGAUUCCAUAUCACCCGCCCACUAGAACUUUCCCUUCUUCUCGAGUCUUUUUCUCUUUUAUACCUUCACACUUUACAUCAAUUUACACUAUGCAAACCAGUCUAAAUAGGGGUUAGUAAUCCAUGUCUCAAUCAAACAAUUAUGUUUAAAACCUCGAAACCCACAUAGGUUAGGCAAGCUCUGAAUAGAAAGAUGUUAUGCACAUUCAGAAGACGAGUAGAACCAUCUAAUAGUUUUUGUCGACUAAAUAACAACACAUCCGGUGGUAUUGACAAUAGAUGAGCAAUUUUCCUGCUAUUUUUUAUAUGUUACAACCUCCAUCAAGCAAACAACAACUGAUUUCUACAUUUGAACAACAAAUACGACUCAAUACGUAAUAAACAUAAUAACAUCUUUCUCAAAUUCUUUGAAGAGAUGGUACAUUAACAUUUAUCACUUCAUUGUAAUAUAAGAUGUACCUUGUGCAGAAAGGGCUCCUGAUAUUAUGCCUUUUGAACAACAUAAUCUGGUGCUUUCUUCUCUAAAUUAGAGUAUGCAGAAACCCUACGUACACAAAAAGCAUAAAAUUGCAUGAAAGCCACCAAUUCAGGGUAUGAAGACUCAAAUAUCAGAAUUUUGCAUUCAAAGUCAUCAAAGACAUAUAUUAAAUUUUUACAUCUAAGAUUACCAAGGCGCACAUUAGUACACUACCAUCAUCUAAUUUAUGAAAACUACCUGGUAUAAUUGCAUCAAGGGUCAUUUCGACAUGCAUUUCAAAUUAUGAAUAAACAUUAAUAUAGAAAUUGCAUUUAGGCCAACAAUUGGUUAUCAAGGCUCAAAUAUAGAAUUUUGCAUUCGAAGUCAUCAAGGGACAAUGUAACCCAAGCAAACCACCAUCAUGUUAAUUUAUCAUUAUUAAAAAAGCAUCAAAGUCAACGUAUCAAGGGUAUCUCAACGCAUUUCAAGUUAUGAAUAAGAAUUCACAAUUAAAAUGCAUUUAGGCCAACAAUUCAGGGUCACCGAGGCUUGAAUAUCGAAUUUCGCAUUAAGCCAUCAAGGCACAUAUAUUCAAUUUUGCAUCUUUGGUCACCAAAGGCAUACUACCAUCAUCUAUAUUUAUCAUUAUGCAAAAAGCAUCAUACAAUCAUUAUAUCAAAGGGUUGUCUCGACAUGCAUAUCAAGUUAUGAAUAAAAAUUCAGAAUGAAAUUGCAUUUAGGCCAACAAUUCAGGGUCAUCAAGGGAGAUAUAUUCAAUUUUCACAUCUAUGGUCACCAAGGCACAAAACCAUCAUCCCAAUUUACCAUUACGAAAAAAACAUUGUGUAGUCAUUGCAUCAAGGGUCAUCUCAACUUGCAUUUCAAGUUAUGAAUAAACAUUCAUCAUUCAAGUCUCUAUCACAUUCAGACAAACAAUUUAGGGACAUCUAGGGACAUAUACUCACCAAGAGCUUCACCAACAUCCACUCCACAAUAAAGGGCAAUUCAGUCUGUCUCUGAAAGGACAAAUUGAUCAAGUUCAUCACAGAUUCAUAUUCCAAUGCCAACUCUAUUUAAAUUCGACGAAAAUUAUGCAUCAAUAUUACAUUUGAAUCAUCCCAGAGUUGGUCUUUUCCAAUUAACAGCAGCAGAAUCUGUCCACGCCGCACUAGGCUCAGCCACAGUAGCAUUCUGCAAAGCAAAAGCCCGUAUCAGACCUGAAGGCAAUCCAGACUGUCUUUGAAAGCACAAAUUGACCAAAUUCAUCACAGAUUCAUAUUCCAAUGCCAACUCUAUUUAAAUUCGACAAAAAGGAUGCAUCAAUAUUAUAUUUGACUCAUCCCAGAGGUUGUCUAAUCCAAUUAACAACAGCAGAAUUUGUCCACGACGCACCAAGCUCAGCCACGGUAGCAUUCU
rnacentral:lncRNA from 1 species